rnacentral:rRNA from 1 species
GACGGGACCGCACAAGCGGUGGAUGAUGUGGUUUAAUUCGAUGCAACGCGAAAACCUUACCACCUUUGACAUGUACGGAAUCCUUUAGAGAUAGAGGAGUGCUCGAAAGAGAGCCGUAACACAGGUGCUGCAUGGCUGUCGUCAGCUCGUGUCGUGAGAUGUUGGGUUAAGUCCCGCAACGAGCGCAACCCUUGUCAUUAGUUGCUACAUUCAGUUGGGCACUCUAAUGAGACUGCCGGUGACAAACCGGAGGAAGGUGGGGAUGACGUCAAGUCCUCAUGGCCCUUAUAGGUGGGGCUACACACGUCAUACAAUGGAUGGUACAAAGGGUCGCCAACCCGCGAGGGGGAGCCAAUCCCAUAAAGCCAUUCGUAGUCCGGAUCGCAGUCUGCAACUCGACUGCGUGAAGUCGGAAUCGCUAGUAAUCGCGGAUCAGCAUGUCGCGGUGAAUACGUUCCCGGGUCUU